ACUUAAAUAGCUUAUAUGAGAGCAUAGUAUUGAAGAUACUAAGGAAAAUUAUAUUUUUUAAGUA
rnacentral:tRNA from 1 species